UACGUAGGGGGCGAGCGUUGUCCGGAGUUACUGGGCGUAAAGCGCACGCAGGCGGUCUGUUAAGUUUGGAGUGACAGUUGGUGGCUUAACUGCCAAAGUGCUUCGAAAACUGACAGACUUGAGGGCUUCAGAGGGACACGGAAUUCCGGGUGGAGUGGUGAAAUGCGUAGAGAUCCGGAGGAACACCAAAGGCGAAGGCAGUGUCCUGGGGAGUACCUUACGCUCAGGUGCGAAAGCCAGGGGAGCGAACGGG
rnacentral:rRNA from 1 species